UACAUGGGGUGCAAACGUUGCUCGGAAUCAUUGGGCGUAAAGCGCACGUAGGCGGCUCUGCAAGUCGGAUGUGAAAUCCCUCGGCUCAACCAAGGAAGUGCAUCCGAAACUGCGGAGCUUGAGUACUUAAGAGGAUCGCGGAAUUCCCGGUGUAGAGGUGAAAUUCGUAGAUAUCGGGAGGAACACCAGUGGCGAAGGCGGCGAUCUGGGAAGAUACUGACGCUGAGGUGCGAAAGCGUGGGGAGCAAACAGG
rnacentral:rRNA from 1 species